rnacentral:rRNA from 1 species
ACCCCGGGAAACCGGGGCUAAUACCGAAUAUGACCUCUGACCGCAUGGUUGGUGGUGGAAAGUUUUUCGGCUUGGGAUGGGCUCGCGGCCUAUCAGCUUGUUGGUGGGGUGAUGGCCUACCAAGGCGACGACGGGUAGCCGGCCUGAGAGGGCGACCGGCCACACUGGGACUGAGACACGGCCCAGACUCCUACGGGAGGCAGCAGUGGGGAAUAUUGCACAAUGGGCGGAAGCCUGAUGCAGCGACGCCGCGUGAGGGAUGACGGCCUUCGGGUUGUAAACCUCUUUCAGCAGGGACGAAGCGUAAGUGACGGUACCUGCAGAAGAAGCGCCGGCCAACUACGUGCCAGCAGCCGCGGUAAGACGUAGGGCGCGAGCGUUGUCCGGAUUUAUUGGGCGUAAAGAGCUCGUAGGCGGCUUGUCGCGUCGACCGUGAAAACUUGGGGCUCAACCCCAAGCCUGCGGUCGAUACGGGCAGGCUAGAGUUCGGUAGGGGAGACUGGAAUUCCUGGUGUAGCGGUGAAAUGCGCAGAUAUCAGGAGGAACACCGGUGGCGAAGGCGGGUCUCUGGGCCGAUACUGACGCUGAGGAGCGAAAGCGUGGGGAGCGAACAGGAUUAGAUACCCUGGUAGUCCACGCUGUAAACGUUGGGCGCUAGGUGUGGGGGGCCUCUCCGGUUCCCUGUGCCGCAGCUAACGCAUUAAGCGCCCCGCCUGGGGAGUACGGCCGCAAGGCUAAAACUCAAAGGAAU